ACACUACAGGAUGAGACACUCUGCCAACACUUAUGAGAGAGUCAAAGAUGAAAAAGAGGCAGCACCUGCCUUCAGGGAAGCCUCAAUCUAGAAAAGAAGAGAGACACAUGCAGGAGAACUAGUAACUUCAGGCAGAUGGGGCUCACAGUGGAAAGAAAACAAAUAAUAGCAAAGAGACACAAGUGGGAUGACGGCAACAGGCAAAAGAUCAGCAGGAUAAGCAAACACCAGAAAAGAGCCUUCAUGGACUUCACCCUUUCAGAAAAACUCAGCAGAGAACUGAAGGUAAGAUCUUAAGAAUUAAUGAAGUGAUGGUUAGACUGAGGGAAGUCUACCAGGAAGGUUUCCUGGCCUUUGUAUCAGUUUUAAUGGGUGGCGUUUUUGAGAAAGGUUGGCUUUUGUGCAGAGUUCAUGGAGUGGGAAUGAAAACAUGACAG
rnacentral:lncRNA from 1 species